AUUGAACGCUGGCGGCAGGCCUAACACAUGCAAGUCGAGCGGUAACAGGAAGCAGCUUGCUGCUUUGCUGACGAGUGGCGGACGGGUGAGUAAUGUCUGGGAAACUGCCCGAUGGAGGGGGAUAACUACUGGAAACGGUAGCUAAUACCGCAUAAUGUCGCAAGACCAAAGAGGGGGACCUUCGGGCCUCUUGCCAUCGGAUGUGCCCAGAUGGGAUUAGCUUGUUGGUGAGGUAACGGCUCACCAAGGCGACGAUCCCUAGCUGGUCUGAGAGGAUGACCAGCCACACUGGAACUGAGACACGGUCCAGACUCCUACGGGAGGCAGCAGUGGGGAAUAUUGCACAAUGGGCGCAAGCCUGAUGCAGCCAUGCCGCGUGUAUGAAGAAGGCCUUCGGGUUGUAAAGUACUUUCAGCGGGGAGGAAGGGGGUAAGGUUAAUAACCUUAGCCAUUGACGUUACCCGCAGAAGAAGCACCGGCUAACUCCGUGCCAGCAGCCGCGGUAAUACGGAGGGUGCAAGCGUUAAUCGGAAUUACUGGGCGUAAAGCGCACGCAGGCGGUCUGUCAAGUCGGAUGUGAAAUCCCCGGGCUCAACCUGGGAACUGCAUUCGAAACUGGCAGGCUUGAGUCUCGUAGAGGGGGGUAGAAUUCCAGGUGUAGCGGUGAAAUGCGUAGAGAUCUGGAGGAAUACCGGUGGCGAAGGCGGCCCCCUGGACGAAGACUGACGCUCAGGUGCGAAAGCGUGGGGAGCAAACAGGAUUAGAUACCCUGGUAGUCCACGCCGUAAACGAUGUCUAUUUGGAGGUUGUGCCCUUGAGGCGUGGCUUCCGGAGCUAACGCGUUAAAUAGACCGCCUGGGGAGUACGGCCGCAAGGUUAAAACUCAAAUGAAUUGACGGGGGCCCGCACAAGCGGUGGAGCAUGUGGUUUAAUUCGAUGCAACGCGAAGAACCUUACCUGGUCUUGACAUCCACAGAAUUUCUCAGAGAUGAGGAAGUGCCUUCGGGAACUGUGAGACAGGUGCUGCAUGGCUGUCGUCAGCUCGUGUUGUGAAAUGUUGGGUUAAGUCCCGCAACGAGCGCAACCCUUAUCCUUUGUUGCCAGCGAUUCGGUCGGGAACUCAAAGGAGACUGCCAGCGAUAAACUGGAGGAAGGUGGGGAUGACGUCAAGUCAUCAUGGCCCUUACGACCAGGGCUACACACGUGCUACAAUGGCAUAUACAAAGAGAAGCGACCUCGCGAGAGCAAGCGGACCUCAUAAAGUAUGUCGUAGUCCGGAUUGGAGUCUGCAACUCGACUCCAUGAAGUCGGAAUCGCUAGUAAUCGUGGAUCAGAAUGCCACGGUGAAUACGUUCCCGGGCCUUGUACACACCGCCCGUCACACCAUGGGAGUGGGUUGCAAAAGAAGUAGGUAGCUUAACCUUCGGGAGGGCGCUUACCACUUUGUGAUUCAUGACUGGGGUGA
rnacentral:rRNA from 1 species